rnacentral:rRNA from 1 species
GGCCACUGCUAUUGGGAUUCGAUUAAGCCAUGCGAGUCGAGAGGGUUCGGCCCUCGGCAGACUGCUCAGUAACACGUGGAUAACCUACCCUUAGGUGGAGGAUAAUCUCGGGAAACUGAGAAUAAUACUCCAUAGAUCUGGGCUGCUGGAAUGCAUCUAGAUUAAAAGCUCCGGCGCCUAAGGAUGGGUCUGCGGACUAUCAGGUUGUAGUCAGGGUAAAGACCUGACUAGCCUACGACGGAUAUGGGUUGUGAGAGCAAUAGCCCAGAGACGAUAUCUGAGACACGAUAUCGGGCCCUACGGGGCGCAGCAGGCGCGAAAUCUUCACAAUGUGCGAAAGCACGAUGAGGGAAUCCCAAGUGCUAGCACGUAAGUGUUAGCUGUUUCUUAGUCUAAAAAACUCAGAGAGUAAGAGCUGGGUAAGACGGGUGCCAGCCGCCGCGGUAAUACCUGCAGCUCAAGUGGUGGCCGCUAUUAUUGGGCCUAAAACGUCCGUAGCCUGUUUAGUAAAUGCUUGGGUAAAUUGUGUAGCUUAACUAUACGAAUACCGGGUAGACUGCUAAACUUGGGACCGGGAGAGGCUAGAGGUACUCCUGGGGUAGAGGUGAAAUUCUGUAAUCCUAGGGGGACCACCAGUGGCGAAGGCGUCUAGCUAGAACGGGUCUGACGGUGAGGGACGAAGCCCUGGGGCGCGAACCGGAUUAGAUACCCGGGUAGUCCAGGGUGUAAACGCUGCUUGCUUGAUGUUAGUUGGGCUCCGAGCCCAACUAGUGUCGGAGAGAAGUUGUUAAGCAAGCUGCCUGGGAAGUACGGUCGCAAGACUGAAAC